rnacentral:sRNA from 1 species
CUCUGUAUCUGUGUGUGUGAACUCUACAUAUAUAACACGUAACAAUAGACUCUGUGCUCUGUGUACCUAAACUCUUUAUGAAUAAGGCAUCAUCAAUGGAAUCGGUUUUUUUUUUUGUGUACGUGAACUCUACUGUAAUUUGUUAUACGUUUUUUUUAUCAAUUUUAUCUUAGUGUAAAUUUUGUCAGUAUAUAAUAUGUUUUACAUAUCUAAGCUCCUGAAAUUUCUGGUAUCAUUCGGUGCUAAGAAGGAGAUGUCCAUUACAAUUGUAGCCAAUGUGUCACAUAUUGUUUUGUUUUUUUAGUUUUGAUUUUUACACAAAUAAUCUUGUAUGUUGAAGUAAACAUUAUUUUCAAAGGGGAAUAACUCAAAAUUUGUAUUUUUCAGUCAGGAUGAAAAAACAGUUAUUCCCCUUGAGAAUGAGAAAUGAAUUUGAUGGUGUUUAUCCCUGACAGUUUUAUUGGUAGGAUUGAAUAUCAGUUAAUGUAUUUUUACAAUAUACCGUGAUCAUUUGGAAAGAAGUGAUCUGAUAAACUCUUGUAAGAAUUUGAUAAGUUUUAGAUGGUUUUUUAUACAAUGUUAUGUAGUUUUAAUUUCAAUAUAUUAAUAGUUGAUGUUCGUUUAAUUCAUUAAGUUUGAGCUGUACAUGUGUAACAAUUGGUGCAUCAUGAUGACCGAAUUAGAAUUAUGGUAGUUUAUGGUGAAACUAUUUUAGAACAUAUCUAUUUGAAAAAAAAAAACAAACUUGUGUUUUAGAAAUGAUGUACCAUUAAUCAUACCAGGAGUCAUUUACUCAUGUAUAUAUCAAUGUGAAAGUAGGUCAUGGUGACCUUAAUUUAUAUUUAGCAUGUUGUUAAUCCUAUGUGUUUGUUAAUGAUGUUUAAGCACAUUUCUCACACUCUGUAUCUCUGUUGACCAGAUAGAUAGGACAACUCAAUUUAAUGUCAUUUAUUUGGAGAAAUAUUGUACGUAAGUUUAAGCGUGAUUAUUUGUUUGGUGUUUACCCAUACAAUGAACGUGAUGAAAUACAUUUAUAACGUAUAUAUAGUAUUAUUUUUAUUUUUAUUGUGUUUACGCUUACCAUGAAACACAUAAUACUUGUAUAAAUAUGAUGUCUGGGUAAAUGUAGCGAGCUGUAGAUAAAAGUCAAUAAACUUAAAGUGACA